UACGUAGGGGGCAAGCGUUGUCCGGAUUUAUUGGGCGUAAAGAGCGUGUAGGCGGCCUUACAGGUCAGCUGUGAAAACUCGAGGCUCAACCUCGAGACGUCGGUUGAAACCGUAAGGCUAGAGUCCGGAAGAGGAGAGUGGAAUUCCCGGUGUAGCGGUGAAAUGCGCAGAUAUCAGGAAGAACACCCGUGGCGAAAGCGGCUCUCUGGAACGGUACUGACGCUGAGACGCGAAAGCGUGGGGAGCGAACAGG
rnacentral:rRNA from 1 species